CGACGACACAGUGUUUGGCACAAUUAAUUAAAUUUUUCAUGCAGUUAAAUAAUUGUAUAAGUAGUGACCACUUUCGGGAUACCGUUCACUUUUGCAGUUCUACAUCCUGCUGCAUUUUUCGUUAAAUACUCCGAACCGAUACUGUAUAGAACAAAUUGAUUAUGUAAAGAAAAAUUAUCCACUGAAUAAUUUACAGUUGAAAGGGAGAGAGAAGGAGUUCUCAUUUGAAAAACAGAAGUUUGAUUCUCCAUAGGACACUCCUUAUUCCUUAAGUAGUACAAAAAUCUCAAGAAUUUGAAAAUAAAAUCUUUAAGUAUUUUUAA